ACCAAGUCGACGAUCUAUAGCUGGUCUGAGAGGAUGAUCAGCCACACUGGGACUGAGACACGGCCCAGACUCCUACGGGAGGCAGCAGUGGGGAAUAUUGGACAAUGCGGGAAACCGUGAUCCACCAUGCCCGUGAGUGAUUGAAGGCCUUAGGGUUGUUAAACUUCUUUUCCAAGGAUGAUUAUUGACGUCCCUGGGAAUAAGCUUCCGCUUAAUUCCUGGCCACAACCCCGGUUAUAACCGAAGGAGGUUACGUUGGUUCCGAAAUUCUUGGCGCUAAAAGGCGCGUAGGGCGGGGUUAAAGUCCGGGGGGGAAAACCCGGGGUCUACCCCGAAUGGCCCUUGAAACUAGUUUGUUGAAACUUGGGAGGGGGGGUGGAAUUCCCCGGUGGAGGGGAAAUU
rnacentral:rRNA from 1 species